rnacentral:rRNA from 1 species
CGUAAACAGAGGGAAGCGAGCCCGCGAGGGGGAGCGAAUCCCAAAAAUAACGUCCCAGUUCGGAUUGUAGUCUGCAACCCGACUACAUGAAGCUGGAAUCGCUAGUAAUCGCGGAUCAGAAUGCCGCGGUGAAUACGUUCCCGGGUCUUGUACACACCGCCCGUCACACCAUGGGAGUCGGAAAUGCCCGAAGUCUGUGACCCAACCUUAGGGAGGGAGCAGCCGAAGGCAGGUCGGAUGACUGGGGUGAAGUCGUAACAAGGUAUC